UUGUAUUUCUUAUAUGGCGUGAAGUUCCCGCAGUUUCUUAAUUUGUGAUGGUUUUCUAAUCAUAAAUUUAUGAUCAAAAAUUGAUUGCAAACUCUUCUCAAUCAAUCCCCUUUAUCUACCUGGAAGCCGCAUUACAUCCUCGCAUUUUGACACAAAAGUUCGUACUCUUGCCAGAAAAUAUUUGUGUAGCAGUCAUUUGAUUUGAUGGUGUUGGGAGCUUUUCUGCAUGGUGUGCUAUGUUAUUGGGGCAUAUUGUUUCAGUAGAAAGUAACCUUUCCAUGCAUGUCAAGAGGGAUUUAUCUAUUUUUGAUAUAUUUUAUUGGCUAAAUGUAGCUUAGAUCUUUUAAAGCUUCAU
rnacentral:lncRNA from 1 species